CGAAAAGCAGAAGGGAUGGGGAAUG
rnacentral:piRNA from 1 species